rnacentral:rRNA from 1 species
AGUGAACGCUGGCGGUAGGCCUAACACAUGCAAGUCGAACGGCAGCACAGUAAGAGCUUGCUCUUACGGGUGGCGAGUGGCGGACGGGUGAGGAAUACAUCGGAAUCUACUUUUUCGUGGGGGAUAACGUAGGGAAACUUACGCUAAUACCGCAUACGACCUACGGGUGAAAGCAGGGGAUCUUCGGACCUUGCGCGAUUGAAUGAGCCGAUGUCGGAUUAGCUAGUUGGCGGGGUAAAGGCCCACCAAGGCGACGAUCCGUAGCUGGUCUGAGAGGAUGAUCAGCCACACUGGAACUGAGACACGGUCCCGACUCCUACGGGAGGCAGCAGUGGGGAAUAUUGGACCAUGGGCGCAAGCCUGAUCCAGCCAUACCGCGUGGGUGAAGAAGGCCUUCGGGUUGUAAAGCCCUUUUGUUGGGAAAGAAAAGCAGCAGGUUAAUACCCCGCUGUUCUGACGGUACCCAAAGAAUAAGCACCGGCUAACUUCGUG